CUAGAACGAACGCUGGCGGCGUGCUUAACACAUGCAAGUCGAACGCGAAAGGGACUUCGGUCCUGAGUAAAGUGGCGCACGGGUGAGUAACGCGUAGAUAACCUGUCUUCAUGUCUGGAAUAAUACGCCGAAAGGGGUACUAAUACCGGAUAUUCUUGCUUUUCAUAAGUUAUGCAAGCAAAGGUGGCCUCUGCAUAUGCUACUGCAUGAAGAGGGGUCUGCGUACCAUUAGCUAGUAGGUGGGGUAAUGGCCUACCUAGGCGACGAUGGUUAGCGGGUCUGAGAGGAUGAUCCGCCACACUGGCACUGGAACACGGGCCAGACUCCUACGGGAGGCAGCAGUGAGGAAUAUUGCGCAAUGGGGGAAACCCUGACGCAGCGACGCCGCGUGAGUGAGGAAAGGCCUUCGGGUCGUAAAGCUCUGUCAAGAGGAAAGAAGUGUACAAUGGCUAAUACCUGUUGUAUUUGACGGUACCUCUAAAGGAAGCACCGGCUAACUCCGUGCCAGCAGCAGC
rnacentral:rRNA from 1 species